AGUUUAAUAAAGGACAGCAGGAGAAAAAGACAAUAAAGCAAAGAUUUAUGGCUGGGUGCUUGGCAUUCAGCCAGGAGCACACCUGCUAUUUUGGAAACACCCUUUAUAUCCCAUUCCUAUUGCAUCAGCCUGUUACAUAUUCAUAAGCAAUUAUGCAUAUUAAAACUUUUCCCCAAACUAGUUUACGUGUUUUAAGAAUUGUUUAGCAUGGCUCCUCCUCGGGUCUGCCUUUUUGGAGUAUUUCUUGGUUGUGGUUUUAGUCUGUUUUUGUUAUCCCCUUUAGUUUGGGCUUUGGUCUGUACUUUGUACCCAUGGCAAGUUUGAUAGUUGGCAAAUCAGCAGCAGGGGUCCUCUUCAUGUGUUCAUGGAAUGUUAUCUCAGCCAAGCAGGAAUUUUAACACAAGUUAAAAUUCUUCUACCAGUUAUUCCACUGCUAUGCCUAACAGAAAUAAAAACUACAUCUUUAUAGCAAAGUUACUUUAAUAUUAUACAUAAAGCACCCAUUUUAAUAUCUGUGACUUUGUGGGCUUUAUGUUGGGUAACUCUUUGAGGGCUCCCCUGACAGGGGAAAAUUUUUUUUUGAAGUAGUUUUUUGUUAGGAAAAGUAGAUGUAAAAGGCUUUUUUGGUCUUCAGGUUUUUGUUUUAUUGUUAUUUUAUUAAAACUUCAGCACACUGUCUGUAUUAGACUUUCUGUGUAUGAAAAACAGUAUAAAAAUGGCUAACAAUCUUUUGUUAUAAGGCUUUUAAAGUUUAAUUGAAAACUAAGUUACUUAAUUAAGAAGUGACAAUGAAAUUCAUUUUUUUAAACUUAAAAACUGAUUUUUAAGGACUUGUAAUGUGGAUUUUUCUACUUAAUCACAAGAUAUUCCUUAAACUUAUGAAGAAAGAGGAAGAAGAAGAAAGGAACUUAAGACAACACUUUAUAUUUGUUAUUUUGAACUUAUACUAAAAAUCUUAAAACUUAAAUUUUUUUUACUCAUGUGAUAUCCUACACUACUAUCUAUGAUUUUUACAAUCUAUUUCACACUUUUGUGGUUUCUAGUUUACCUUGAGGCUUUGGAAGUUUUCUCUAUGAAUGAGGGCUAAAAUCAGAGCUUCCCUGGGGGUCAGGACACCCCAGAGCAGACAGAGAAAUAUUCCCAGUGCCCUGGGUUUCCACAAAAGGCCAAUAUUAUAAUAUUUAUUUACAACAAUGUGGAUGCAGCCCCUCGGAUGGCCCAGCCCUGAUCCUGCUGCUGCAGCUCCAUCCCUGCCCGGGGACCUGGCUGUAAUUAACUGGCUAAUUAAGAGCUCGGUGCAGAUAAGCACGGGCCACAAUUCCUCAGAAAUCCUCACAAUUCCUCAAUCUCCCAGUGCCUGUGGCAGGCA
rnacentral:lncRNA from 1 species